rnacentral:rRNA from 1 species
UACAGAGGUCUCAAGCGUUGUUCGGAUUCAUUGGGCGUAAAGGGCGCGUAGGCGGCGGGGUAAGUCGGGUGUGAAAUCUCAGAGCUCAACUCUGAAAUGGCACUUGAUACUGCUCUGCUAGAGGACUGGAGAGGAGAUUGGAAUUCACGGUGUAGCAGUGAAAUGCGUAGAUAUCGUGAGGAAGACCGGUGGCGAAGGCGGAUCUCUGGACAGUUCCUGACGCUGAGGUGCGAAGGCCAGGGGAGCAAACGGG